UCAAGCGACUAAGUGUAUGUGGUGGAUGCCUUGGCGAUUACAGGCGAAGAAGGACGUCGCAGCCUGCGAAAAGCCGUGGGGAGCUGGCAAGCGAGCACUGAUCCACGGAUGUCCGAAUGAGGGAACUCACCCGCAAGGGUAUCUUGAAGUGAAUACAUAGCUUCAAGAGGCGAACGCAGCGAACUGAAACAUCUAAGUAGCUGCAGGAAAAGAAAUCAACCGAGAUUCUGAAAGUAGCGGCGAGCGAAAUUGGAAGAGCCUGCAAGUGAUAUUGAAUUCGAUACUGGAACGGUCUGGAAAGUCCGGCUACAGAGGGUGACAGCCCCGUACGGGAAAUUGGGUUCAAGGUACUGAGCUUGCGAGAAGUAGAGCGGGACACGUGAAAUCCUGCUCGAAGAUGGGGGGACCAUCCUCCAAGGCUAAAUACUCGUAAUCGACCGAUAGCGAACCAGUACUGUGAAGGAAAGGCGAAAAGAACCCCGGGAGGGGAGUGAAAUAGAUCCUGAAACCGCAUACAUACAAACAGUAGGAGCCCGCAAGGGUGACUGCGUACCUUUUGCAUAAUGGGUCAGCGACUUACGUUCAAUGGCAAGCUUAACCGAGUAGGGGAGGCGCAGCGAAAGCGAGUCCGAACAGGGCGAUAUGAGUCGUUGGGCGUAGACCCGAAACCAGAUGAUCUAUCCAUGGCCAGGCUGAAGGUGUGGUAACACACACUGGAGGGCCGAACCGACUAGUGUUGCAAAAUUAGCGGAUGAGCUGUGGAUAGGGGUGAAAGGCUAAACAAAUCUGGAGAUAGCUGGUUCUCCCCGAAAACUAUUGAGGUAGUGCCUCGUGUAUGGCUCCAGGGGGUAGAGCACUGUUAUGGCUAGGGGGACAUGGCGUCUUACCAAACCAUGGCAAACUCCGAAUACUUGGAAGUCUGAGCACGGGAGACAGAGCACCGGGUGCUAACGUCCGGACUCAAAAGGGAAACAACCCAGACCGCCGGCUAAGGUCCCUAAUAUUGACUAAGUGGAAAACGAAGUGGGAAGGCUAAGACAGUCAGGAAGUUGGCUUAGAAGCAGCCAUCCUUCAAAGAAAGCGUAAUAGCUCACUGAUCGAGUCUUCCUGCGCGGAAGAUGUAACGGGGCUAAGUCAAUAACCGAAGCCGCGGAUUCGCAGCAAUGCGAGUGGUAGGGGAGCGUUCUGUAAGCCUGCGAAGGCGGAUCUGCGAGGACCGCUGGAGGUAUCAGAAGUGCGAAUGCUGACAUGAGUAACGUUAAAGCGGGUGAAAAGCCCGCUCGCCGCAAGCCCAAGGUUUCCUGCUCUACGUUCAUCGGAGCAGGGUGAGUCGGCCCCUAAGGUCAGGCUGAGAAGCGUAGCUGAUGGGAAGCUGGUUAAUAUUCCAGCACCGAUUUCAAGUGCGAAGGGGGGACGGAGUCCUGAAGGUCAUCCGGGUGUUGGAUAUCCCGGUUUACGAGCGUAGGAGGUUGACAGGCAAAUCCGUCAACGGAUCUCCAAGGCGAAGGAUCGAGGUUGAGAGAUCAACUGAAGUGACUGAAUGGGCUUCCAGGAAAAGCCUCUAAGCAUCAGCUUGGAAUUGACCGUACCGCAAACCGACACUGGUGGGCGAGCUGAAUAUGCUCAGGCGCUUGAGAGAACUCAGGAGAAGGAACUCGGCAAAUUGACACCGUAACUUCGGGAUAAGGUGUGCCUUUGUAGUGUGAAGGGAGAAACACCCCGAGCAUGAAGAGGCCUCAGAGAAUCGGUGGCUGCAACUGUUUACUAAAAACACAGCACUCUGCAAAGAUGAAAGUCGACGUAUAGGGUGUGAUGCCUGCCCGGUGCUGGAAGAUUAAUUGAUGGGGUGCAAGCUCCUGAUCGAAGUCCCAGUAAACGGCGGCCGUAACUAUAACGGUCCUAAGGUAGCGAAAUUCCUUGUCGGGCAAGUUCCGACCUGCACGAAUGGCAUAAUGAUGGCCACACUGUCUCCUCCUGAGACUCAGUGAAGUUGAAAUGUUUGUGAUGAUGCAAUCUCCCCGCGGCUAGACGGAAAGACCCCAUGAACCUUUACUGCAGCUUUGCAUUGGACUUUGAACCGAUCUGUGUAGGAUAGGUGGGAGGCAGUGAAGCUAGGACGCCAGUCUUAGCGGAGCCAACCUUGAAAUACCACCCUGAUUUGUUUGAGGUUCUAACCUAGGAGCGUGAUCCGCUUCGGGGACCGUGCAUGGUAGGCAGUUUGACUGGGGCGGUCUCCU
rnacentral:rRNA from 1 species